CAGACUGUCAUUCAUUCCUCUUCUCCACGCUCUUGGACUUAGUCUAGGCCAACUAUUAUUCUUCUUCAUCUCAAUAGCUCAACCUUUCCUCCCUUUUAGAUCUCAAUCUUUCGAUCUUGACAGAAGACUCAUGGUGGUCUUGCCCAUUGUCUCCUCAGAUUAUUGCCCUCUCUUCCCUCACUAUGCUCACUUGUCGGCCAGCUCCAUCUAGACAGUGGAUUGCUAUGUGCUCUCGAUGGACUUGCCGCCACAAGUUGCUUCAAGUGCUCGCUAUUGUUCCUCAUGGUUAUCGAUUCAAUUGCCGGUCCAACCAGUUUGAAUAUGAGACCUGUGGCCCACUGACAUUUCUUGUUCAUUAUUUGGUAUGGGUUUUAAAACAUUGGUUCACCCCAUAGAACCCCAAACUCUGAGUGGUUCACACCGUCCUCCAAAUCUUCUUCCGUUGAACCACUUCUGCCAUCGGUUUCUCCUCAUCCUUUGUUGUUCCCUCACUCCAUCACAGUUGCCUACUUGAUAAUUAUUUAGAAUUGCAGCAAUUAAUCUAUGGAUGGUGAGGUGUGGGGAUGUUCUAGAAAGAGAGGACAGCAAUGAUGAAGUUGUUUUGCAAGACUCUAGCGACGAAGAAGAACAUCACUUUUUGGCUGGUUCCAUGGCCAAGUUGCAGUUUCGGUCUGUUAAAUCCAAGGCUACUGGAACGAUGAAAUGGGAA